UAAUGUUUUGAAACACCACAU
ensembl:piRNA 21ur-3776 ncRNA